rnacentral:lncRNA from 9 species
GGGCAAGGGCCACCUGUCUCCUUGCAGAGCCUGCAAUUAACCAUCCUCUGCUCCAAACUCCAAAUGUUUUGGUUUGUUUGGCCUUACUGUGUGUCAGGCACCCGGACUUGCCCUAGCAAUUUUGGCAAAGCCAGCCCAAGAGCCUGUGCCUGAGGCUUCUUGGCCCUGGCUAGGGCAGCCUCUUCCUCACCCCUCAGCAGUUGCUGGAGCCCAUUUCACUCGGGGACCUGGGGGGGACGGUCCCUGACAGGUGCUAGGCGCCCAUGGCAGGAGGCUGUUUGGAGCCGAGAAACAUCUGGAGCUUCGGUCCAUGCUGAGUGUCAUGGGGGUACUAUAUGGACGGAAGCUGGAUUAUUUGGUUUUUGAUUCUCUCUCAGAGAAACCAACGUGUCUGCUAACUGCUGCCAAGUUAAAAUUGUCUGUAAGGACUGUACAGACCACCAUGGCUCCAUACAUAAAGGACAUUCACCAAAAAGGUAAUCUGAAAAAUGUUUGUCAUUCAAUCAUCUUAAUUUCCUGUUUUCAGUGCCAUGUCAAAUUUUAAGAAUGAGGCAAUUUAUAUAUUAAAAACUACAUGAAUAAAAAGACUGAUGCAGUCACCCAAAGUAAUAACUCAAGUAAUAACUCAAUGAAUGUUUAAAGGGCUUUUUAGCCACAUUGAUGUGGUUCUGAGGAGAGAAGGCAGUUGCCCUCUGUUAACCUACUCGCAUAUUUGGGUUGAUUUCUAGUUGGAGGACAGAAUUGUGCUGAUUCGCUCUCUCUCACCCUGUGUCUUCUGUGACUCACAGCAAAUCUUACCAACAUGACUUGCUGGAGUCAUGCUGGAACUUGAGGGAUUUGGGACUCAUAAAAGCUGCCCACCACACUUGAAACACAAAUCCUGAACUCUGGCCUUAUUAUAUUAAUGCUUUGAUUUAUUGGGCUAAGGUAGAAAGCCUUUUGCAGUUGCCAAAAGACUGAAUAUUUCUUAAGUCCUGAAAAUGCAUCUCUACCUAAAACAGUUAAAUCCUUUAGAAUAUGUUGUUAUUUAAGAUCAUAAGAUGAAGGGAGUUCCCAUCGUGGCUCAGUGGAAAUGAAUCCGACUAGUACC